UAUCAAUCAACUCAGCUGCUGCAAUCCCAAAUGCUGCUGCUGUAAUCCACACACGCAUACGCCUUUCCUCCUGCUGCUGCUUGCUGCUUGCUGCUUCCCAUCUGCUUGGUCAGGCGUGUCGGAGGACUCAACGUCGGUAGCCUUCAACAAAGGUGAGACAUGGUGGUUUGAUAAUACAAAUUAGGAGGCCUUCCCUUUCUUGCAAGUCAGAUAUGGUUGCAUAUUUGGCUCUUGGUUUUGGCAUAUCGUCACAUGCCAAGAAGCUUUUCAUGAUAGGAUCAAGGAUUUAGUGCUUGGUUUGGGCAUAUUGUCACAAAUCGAGUGGCUUGUUCUUAAAUUUUGCACAUAUAUCUUGUUGCAUAUUUGGUUCUUGGCUUGGGUAUACUGUCACAAGUCAAGAGGCACCUCAUAAUAGGACCAAGAAUUAUACUCUCGAUUUGGACAUAUUGUCACAAAUCGAGAGGCUUAUUCUUAGAUUUUUGCAUAUAUAUCUUGUUGCAUUUCGGCUCUUGGCCUGGGCAUAAUUCCACAAGCCAAGAAGCAUUCAUGGUAAGAUAAGGGAUUAUGCUUUUGAUUCGGGCAUAUUGUCACAAAUCAAGUAGCCCAUUCUAGAGUUAUGGGCCAUAUUUUGGUACAUAGAUAUUUUAUAAUUUCAUAUCCAUGUACGUUAGCUCAUCAAAAAUAUUGCACACAUAUACUUGAUGCACAAUUUAGUCCCAUAUCUCUAAAUUGAAUAGAUAAUUUUCACAUGUUGCAUCAUCCCUAUAAAUUGCUAUACAUCAUGCUGCGCACGUGGGCAUAUUGUCACAUGAUGCUAGUAUCAAUAUAAAUGAAUUGUAUUACACGUGGGCAUAUUGUCACACGGUGUUAGUAUUAAUACAAAUGAAACAUGCUAUACGUGAGCAUAUUGUCACACGAUGCUAGCAUUAAUACAAAUGAAUUGAACUACACGUGGGCAUAUUGUCACACGGUGUUAGUAUUAAUAUAAACGAAAUAUACUACACGUGGGCAUAUUGUCACAAACCAAGAAGCAUUUAUGAUAAGGGAUUAUGCUUUUGAUUCAGGCAUAUUGUCACAAAUCAAGUAACCCAUUCUAGAGUUAUGGGCCAUAUUUUGGUACAUAGAUAUUUUAUAAUUUCAUAUCCAUGUAAGUUAGCUCAUCAAAAAUAUUGCACACAUAUACUUGAUGCACAAUUUAGUCCCACGUCUUUAAAUUGAAUAGAUAAUUUUCACAUGCUGCAUCAUCCCUAUAAAUUGCUAUACAUCAUGUUGCGCACGUGGGCAUAUUGUCACACGAUGCUAGCAUCAAUAUAAAUGAAUUGUAUUACACGUGGGCAUAUUGUCACACGGUGUUAGUAUUAAUACAAAUGAAACAUGCUAUACGUGAGCAUAUUGUCACACGAUGCUAGCAUUAAUACAAAUGAAUUGAACUACACGUGGGCAUAUUGUCACACGGUGUUAGUAUUAGUAUAAACGAAAUAUACUACACAUGGGCAUAUUGUCACACGGCGUUAGUAUUAAUACAAAUGAAAUGAGACUAUAUAACAAAUCCUCAUAUAACUGAAAUCUAAAAUCAUAUAAACAUGUUGACUAAUUUUUAGUCGCACAUUCAUUUAAGGCUAUAGAAAACUAGUCUUACAUGCUACAAGAUGUUUCAUAUAAAUUAAAAUUGAACCAUGGUUGCAUUUCAUAUAGUUUUAUGCAUGUGACUCAUAUAAAUAUAAAUUAAAUUAUACACUCUCUUGAUAUGAUUGUCUGCAUCUGCGUAUAGAUCAAGCCAUGCACUACUUUCAUAUAGGUGCAUGCAUCCAAAGAAUUAAAUGAUAGCUUAGGCCAUGUAGCACACGUGGAUUACGAAACCCUGAGUUCGAUCUGCAUAUAGUACUUGGGUCAACUAUAUAAUAGUCCACGUCAAAUACAUAUCUUCAUCCAUGCAUGUAUAUAGAAAAUACAUGUAUGAUCUUUGGCACAUGUGCGCGUAUAUUUGGGAUGCCAUUUUAGCCUGCUGAUUAGCCAUCUAAAUAGAUUAUAUACAUUGUCAACUGAUUAGAGCACUUUUACAUGAUUAAAAUAUAUGAUGGUUGAUCAACUAAAUGGACUUGGCACCUAUACGUGCACAUAUGUUAUAUCGAUGAUAUAAAAUAAAAUAUGUCAUCCCAUGAACAAAUCAUAGUUACUAUGCUACUCACAUAUCAGCAUAGAUGAAUUUUAACCAUGAUUAUCAUGUUACCCAUACGUUAGCAUAAAUAAAAAAUCAAGACUUCUUUGAGCACGCCGACGCUGACGACAGCGAUGAGGAGUUUUAUUUUCAUAGUUUUAGAUACUCAUGUGUUGUAAUGUCAUGUAAUAGUUAUGUUGGAAUUUCUUAAUCAGGGGUUUUCUCUUUGGAGAUGUAAUUGACAGAAUUUUGAUGUAAAUGUAAGAGUUCUGGAAAUAAAGAGCUUGCAAUGUUUGAUCUUUUAUUUAUUUUACGCUUUUAUGCAUUUAAUUUAUACUAUCUGUCUCUAUGACGUGGACGCGUAUUUCCCGCCCCAUUUUCCCGUCAUCACGGCCGCAACCGCUGAUGUGGACAGCGCAAUCCACAUCGCGGACGAAGUGGUAACUCCGGGAGCAGGGGAAGGAGAUGUUGCCGGGAUCGACCCGGCAAAGGACGACGGUGGGUGCCAGGAGGCAACCCACGUGGAGGGAGGGGAUGCCCAAGACGCAGCUUCGCCGGUCACCGCAACCACGGGUGGCGACGCUGCCUGACUCACCCCGGGAGCAACCAUGGCCGUCAUGGAUGUGGCUCCUAAGGAAACAGCGGAGCAGCGCUCCACCAGACCAAGUGGGGGCCAGGCGAAUCUGCUCGGCAACCAGCCGAGCAACCCGGUACCGACUGGGGAGCCGGGGAGGUGGUGGCCGCAGGGCCGCAGCAUGGCGGGAACCGGCCAAGAGCGGCCGCCGAGCCCCCAGGCGGAGGUCGGCGGCGCAUUCGAGACGGGAGGCAGCGAGAGGGAGCGUGUGCCCUUAACAGCGCCCAAGGAGGUUGUGCGGUCCCAGACCAUGGCCGCGGGGGCCUCCUCAAGCGCCGGGGCGAUCGCUGGAGCAGCCUGGGGUCCACUGAGAUGGGACCCCAGCAUCUUCGACCAAGGCCACGAGAUCAUCGACGGCAUCCAGCGGCAGCAGCUGGAGUUUGUCAGCUGCUACAACUGGGUGCGCCCACAGCUCGGUUCGAGGAGCGGCGGCAGGAGCUGGCAUGGCUCUAAGAGGAAAUCUGGGUGGCGCAGCAAGCUCGGGCCGAGGCGACCGAGCCUUUGGUUCUGGAGGCACCCGCCCAACGGCAGCUGUAGGUGUUGCGACUGGAGCACCAGAAGGCGCUCGAGUCCUUGGAGGUAGCGCGCGCUCAAGCUGAAGGGGUACACCGGGAAGCACUGAAGGGUUUCCAAGAGCGCCUCGACGAGAAGAGAAGGAUGAUCUCCAGCUACUCCAUCGAGAUCCAGCAACUGCGCCAGCAACUCGGGGAGCAGGCCACGGCAACACAGGCUGCGGCGACUCGGUCUGUGCUGCGGGAGAAGGAGUUGCGGGAGCAGCUCCAAACCCGGGAGCGCGAGCUCCAGGAGCAGCUCAAGGCUGCGUCAGAGGCCAACGCUGCCUACUGCCCUCAAGGGCGAGCUGGACAUCGCCCGGAACAAUCUCCGCCAACUCGACGAGGAGAACUCGGAGAAGGUGUCAAAGAUCACAAAGCUACAGGACGAACUCAGGAAUCAGAAGGCUGAGGCCGAGUACGUCCACCGCAACCACUUGCAGCUGCUAACCCAGCGGCAGGGGAACACGGCGCUACUCCGCAGGUUUGCAGAGAUGGGGAAUGAGUCGCUGUCGAAGCUGGGGGUGUCCUCGGCAGCCAUCGACGGCAGCAACAUCAGCACCCUCAUCCCCUUCCUUGUGGACUUCGUGGGGAGGCUGACUGGCGUGGUGGAGCGCAUCCGCAGCUUCAGGGACCGGCAAGUGAGCGUUGCCACCUGACAAGUCGCCGGCGCCAUCCUGCCGCACAUCCACCAGGCCCAUCCUGACUUCCCUCUUCGAGGCGAUCUUCAAUGAUUGGUCAGCUGAGGAGAACAAGGAGGUUCACAUCAGCGCCGUUAGCAGCUUCGUCGACGAGAUGGUGGUGUGGAUGACGGGGCAAGCCGCUUCCGACGAAGCCGAAGCUGCUGGGGAGACUCCUGCUGAGGAAGCACCCGCUACUGAGGCUGCUAACCCGGAAGUCCCUCCCGCGUAUUUCUCCAAUUGGCGCAUGGUGGCGUACAAUUUGUAUCGUAAUAGCCUUAAUUAGCCCGUGAACUUAUCUGUGAUACUUUCAACUUGUUUGCUUAAUCAAGUUUACUUGUUCCUUGCUUAUAA